CUUAAUCAACGGAAAAAAAGACAAAAAAAUAUUUGUAUUCUUUGAUAUCAAGUUCAAUUAUCCAUGCAGAAACGACAAUUUUUCUGUGUCCAGUAUAGCAUCGUAGAUAUUUAUAGGAAGAUGUGGUGUGAGUGCCAAUGAGACAACUCUCCAUCCAAAUAACAAUUUAUAAAAGUAAAUCAUUAUAAGUCAAUGUACGGCCUUCAACACGGAGCCUUGGCUCACACCGAACAAAAAGCUAUAAAGGGCCC
rnacentral:lncRNA from 1 species